rnacentral:tRNA from 1 species
GGAAGGUGUGGCUCAGAGGUAGAGCACGUGCUUAUUUUGCACGAGGUCCUGGGGGUUCAAUCCCCAGCACCUCCA